UACCUGGUUGAUCCUGCCAGUAGUCAUAUGCUUGUCUCAAAGAUUAAGCCAUGCAAGUCUAAGUACGAGCUCUCGUACAGUGAAACUGCGAAUGGCUCAUUAAAUCAGUUAUGGUUCAUUUGAUCGUACAGUUUACUUGGAUAACUGUGGUAAUUCUAGAGCUAAUACAUGCGAGAAGCGCCGACCUCGCGGGAGGCGUGCAUUUAUCAGACCAAAAACCGGCCGCGUCUUCGGGCGCGUUCGCCUUGGUGACUCUGGAUAACUUUGCGGAUCGCACGGUCUAGCACCGGCGACGGAUCAUUCAAGUGUCUGCCCUAUCAACUUUCGUCGGUACGGUAUUUGCCUACCGAGGUUCUUACGGGUGACGGGGAAUCAGGGUUCGAUUCCGGAGAGGGAGCCUGAGAAACGGCUACCACAUCCAAGGAAGGCAGCAGGCGCGCAAAUUACCCAUUCCCGACGCGGGGAGGUAGUGACGAAAAAUAACAAUGCAGGACUCGUUCGAGGCCCUGUAAUUGGAAUGAGUACACUUUAAAAGCUUUAACGAGUAUCCAUUGGAGGGCAAGUCUGGUGCCAGCAGCCGCGGUAAUUCCAGCUCCAAAAGUAUAUAUUUAAGUUGUUGCGGUUAAAAAGCUCGUAGUUGGA
rnacentral:ncRNA from 1 species